rnacentral:tRNA from 1 species
GUAUUCGACGAUCAAUUCAGAACGUCGCUUCGCUCCGCAGGACACGACCCUGCGAGGGUCGCUGGCGGAGGUUCGAAUCCUCCCGAAUACA